CUUGGGGCUGCUCUGCCUGUGGAGUAGCCAUUCUUCAUUCCUUUUCUUUCUUAAUAAGCUUCCUUUCACUUCACUCUAUCUACCCAGAUACUGUUGAGUUAAUCUCUGCUGAGGUUUUCCUUUGAAUUCUUUCUUGUGCGAGAUCCAAGAACCCUCCCUUGGGAUCUGGAUUGGGACCCCUUUCUGCCUUUGAACCCCUCAGAAGACCUCAGCUCAAAGGUUACUACGUCACCGAAUCUCUCCCUGACCACCACGCUGUGAAGUAGCCUGGGAAGAAAGGCCAUCUCAGCUCUUCCAGCUGUCCUACCUGAAGCCUGAACAUGUGAGUGAAACCACUGUGGACUCCCAGCUUUUGCUGAGCCCUCAGGUUUCUGCAGCUGUAGGAGUGAAUUCACGUGAGGCGAGUGGCAGAGCUACCCGAUCGACCUUCACAAUUGUGCUAAAUAAUAAAUAAGUAAACGAUGACUGUUUUUA
rnacentral:lncRNA from 1 species